UACGGAGGGCGCAAGCGUUGUUCGGAAUUACUGGGCGUAAAGCGCGUGUAGGCGGCCAGGUAAGUCGGAUGUGAAAGCCCGGGGCCCAACCCCGGAACUGCACCCGAUACUGCCUGGCUGGAGUCCCGGAGAGGAUGGCGGAAUUUCCGGUGUAGAGGUGAAAUUCGUAGAUAUCGGAAGGAACACCAGUGGCGAAGGCGGACAUCUGGAAGGUGACUGACGCGGAGACGCGAAAGCGUGGGGAGCAAACAGG
rnacentral:rRNA from 1 species